rnacentral:rRNA from 1 species
UACGGAGGAUCCGAGCGUUAUCCGGAUUUAUUGGGUUUAAAGGGUGCGUAGGCGGUUUGAUAAGUUAGAGGUGAAAUGUCGGGGCUCAACCCCGAAACUGCCUCUAAUACUGUUGGACUAGAGAAUAGUUGCGGUAGGCGGAAUGUAUGGUGUAGCGGUGAAAUGCUUAGAGAUCAUACAGAACACCGAUUGCGAAGGCAGCUUACCAAACUAUAUCUGACGUUGAGGCACGAAAGCGUGGGGAGCAAACAGG